AAGAGUGUGCCUGAAUAAAAGGGUUAUUUUGAUAGAAUAAAUCAUACAAGUAACUGUCUCUCUUU
rnacentral:tRNA from 1 species